UAUUUUCAAUGUUUCAUGAUCGGCCAUCUUUGUUUCGAUUGCUGGGCUCUAUCUUCUGCGACAUUACGAGGAACUAUUGACCAAAACUUCCCCUCGUUGGAGAUGAGAGAAAGGCAAAACGUUUGUUCUGUCGACUGCGUUUCAUCGACAGCGGUCUAAAGGCCGCCAUUUAGGAGAAAAUGUCUGUGAGGACACUGCAGUGAUUCUUAACGCUUUGCGAUGGUUUUAUACACCACUUCCAAGAGGUAUAAAUGUAUAACUGUCGACUUGAUUAGCGUGGUGCCUACAUGUAUAGACACAAGAUCGCCAACAAUGAAUUUGACUAGCAACAAGCGCUAAUAAGAGCAGUCAACUCUCGAUAUAUUAAGCUUAAGGAGAUGAUAUAAAAGUGGCCAUUUGAAUAUAACAGUACAGAUGGAAGAGGCAGAGAUGUUAAAUGAAAAUAUGUCAUGAGGUUGGUGCACGUCUGCUAUAACUGCAUGCAUAAGGUGGGAGCAUUAUUCAUGACUGUCUGCAAUCAGUCUUGAUAAAUGAGAUAAGUCUGACAUGGACACCCAUCUUUCUGCAACGUGAUGAGUAGUAUACUCUGAGUAAAUAAUUUGGCAAUAUCAAAGUCACUAAAGGACUUCGACUGGUAUCUAGAAGCACCUCGUACAUGUACUUGUAUCGGCAAAUGACAAAAGCCAAACUUUCCUCUCAUUCAACUGUGCCACUCAAGUCAAGACGAAGACAGCUGAAGGCCUUCCUAAUUACCAUGACUGUAUUAAAAUACUCUAUCUUUGGUAUACGAAGGAACCUAAAAUAUGUUCAGGGGACUGGCAUUUUCAUCAUAUUACAGUAUCAGCAUCUAUUGGAAAAGAUAUUUUUUGAGAGAAAUUGCUAAAGGCAUUUUAGUUUUUUCUAGUGUUUAAGUGUAUCUACAUGAUCAUUACUUAUUAUAUCAACUUAAUUUGGGCUAGCAAGUUAUGUUAUAGUUCAAUUGAAAGUUACACCUUUUUACUACAUUGUCAUUUUCAAAUUUAUUCCAUGAAAUAAGCUGGUGUGAAAAAAAAAAAUACUGGUGUGUUAAAAAGAUUUUCCAUAAAUUUCUUGCUUCUACUUUUGUUUGAUUUUUUGCCAAUGUGUCACAGCCUACUUAUAUUCUGUUUAUGGCAGUACUACUUUUGAAAGAUAAUUUGAGGGAAAUUCCUUUUUUCAUUUCAUAUAUAUACCACCAAUAACACUUUUAAUAUUGAUGCUGAACUCCUGUAGACUUGCAGCUCUCAAUAAGUCAUUGUGAUUGGUAGGUCAGAAUAAGCUCUAUUUUAAUUUAUGCUUAGUUUUUGUGACGAGAGGCAAUCUCACAGAUUAGGUCUUUUUAUCAACAAUACCAAUCUUUAUACAGUGAAAAAGUUCUCAACAUUAUUCCAUGUAGUAACAUAAUUAAAAAUGCUGUAAAACUU